UGUUUCAUUUUGUGGUAGCCCUCUGAGGGGAUGUUUAGCACACUCAUUUCAUUCUGUAAAUACUGAGCAACUGCUCUGUCCCAGGGACAGUUCUGAGGCUGGUAUGAGUGUCCAUUAGUGAAGAUGGACUCCUUUAGGGAGUUCUCAUUCCAGUGACUGGAGAGAGAGCACAAACGAGACACGUAAUUAAUUAAUUAUAAUAAAGGGGAUAAAGACUAGGAGAAAACAGAGCAGAGUAAGGGAGCUCGGGAACAUGGGUGUGGGGGAGACGCCAAAUUUAAUACGAUUAGGUGAGUCCCAUUUGGGAGGGCUUUAAAGUGAGGUCAUGUCUAUGGGUGUAUAUAUAAUAUAGCCUUUCUACGUUUGUCUAAUUUUAAUUUCUUAUAAAUCUUCAAACUGCUUAUUUUUUUAAAUUACUUUUUGUAUGCCUUGUAUAACCAGCAAGUGAGGAGUGAAGUGGCCAGAAGUGGUGUUAGCAGGGAAAAGUGCAGCUAUAAAUCCAAGUCACCAGCCUGAGGUGGUGGUUAGGGUCCAGCCGAAAGCAGUGUUGUAAUUAGUGGCCUCUUCUCACGGUGGCGGUGUGAUCCAGGACUGAAGGACCUGAUGGCUGUAACUAGCCCUCUCCUCCAUCACAGAAUUCUGCUCCAACUGUUUACCAGCAAGAAUACAGAUGGGAAACCUAAAGAGAUGAUCCAUUUACAUCCUCAAGAAGACAACAGUGUUUUAAAGCCUCAGACUCUGCAAACCAAUCAGGAAGACAGCAGCAGUGUCUCAACUUUGGCCGUAUUUUCUUGGGCCCUACACAGCAACCACGAAGGAGGGCAGAAACACAUCUUCUGAACUCGUAAUUAUGUGUAACGCUAGUAUCACCAUUUUAAGCAGCAAAUUCUUGGGUUGUUCCCUUGUCACCCAUGCUGUCACCUGAAUAAAAAUAUCCUGCUAUUUCAGUGCCCUUCCUUGACAAAGUACCACAGAGCUGAGGAGCA